CACGUAGGCACCAAGCGUUAUCCGGAUUUAUUGGGCGUAAAGAGCUCGUAGGCGGUUCGGUAAGUCGGGUGUGAAAACUCUGGGCUCAACCCAGAGAGGCCACCCGAUACUGCUGUGACUAGAGUGCGGUAGGGGAGCGGGGAAUUCCUGGUGUAGCGGUGGAAAUGCGCGGAUAUCAGGAGGAACACCAGCGGCGAAGGCGCCGCUCUGGGCCGUAACUGACGCUGAGGAGCGAAAGCAUGGGUAGCAAACAGG
rnacentral:rRNA from 1 species